rnacentral:rRNA from 1 species
CGUAAGGUCCGAGCGUUGUCCGGAAUCAUUGGGCGUAAAGGGUACGUAGGCGGGUAAGCAAGUUAGAAGUGAAAUCCUGUAGCUCAACUACAGUAAGCUUUUAAAACUGCUCAUCUUGAGAUAUGGAAGGGAAAGUGGAAUUCCUAGUGUAGCGGUGAAAUGCGCAGAUAUUAGGAGGAAUACCGGUGGCGAAGGCGACUUUCUGGCCAUAAUCUGACGCUGAGGUACGAAAGCGUGGGUAGCAAACAGGAUU